GAUGAACGCUGGCGGCGUGCCUAAUACAUGCAAGUCGAGCGAACGGACGAGAAGCUUGCUUCUCUGAUGUUAGCGGCGGACGGGUGAGUAACACGUGGAUAACCUACCUAUAAGACUGGGAUAACUUCUGGAAACCGGAGCUAAUACCGGAUAAUAUUUUGAACCGCAUGGUUCAAAAGUGAAAGACGGUCUUGCUGUCACUUAUAGAUGGAUCCGCGCUGCAUUAGCUAGUUGGUAAGGUAACGGCUUACCAAGGCAACGAUGCAUAGCCGACCUGAGAGGGUGAUCGGCCACACUGGAACUGAGACACGGUCCAGACUCCUACGGGAGGCAGCAGUAGGGAAGCUUCAGAGAUGGGCGAAAGCCUGACGGAGCAACGCCGCGUGAGUGAUGAAGGUCUUCGGAUCGUAAAACUCUGUUAUUAGGGAAGAACAUAUGUGUAAGUAACUGUGCACAUCUUGACGGUACCUAAGCAGAAAGCCACGGCUAACUACGUG
rnacentral:rRNA from 1 species